CCUACGGGUGGCUGCAGUGGGGAAUAUUGGACAAUGGGCGAAAGCCUGAUCCAGCCAUGCCGCGUGUGUGAAGAAGGCCUUCGGGUUGUAAAGCACUUUCAGUGGGGAAGAAAGCCUUGGGGCUAAUACCCUCGAGGAAGGACAUCACCCACAGAAGAAGCACCGGCUAACUCCGUGCCAGCAGCCGCGGUAAUACGGAGGGUGCGAGCGUUAAUCGGAAUUACUGGGCGUAAAGCGCGCGUAGGCGGUCUGAUAAGCCGGUUGUGAAAGCCCCGGGCUCAACCUGGGAACGGCAUCCGGAACUGUCAGGCUAGAGUGCAGGAGAGGAAGGUAGAAUUCCCGGUGUAGCAGUGAAAUGCGUAGAGAUCGGGAGGAAUACCAGUUGCGAAGGCGGCCUUCUGGACUGACACUGACGCUGAGGUGCGAAAGCGUGGGUAGCAAACAGGAUUAGAUACCCCUGUAGUC
rnacentral:rRNA from 1 species